rnacentral:rRNA from 1 species
UACGUAGGGGGCAAGCGUUGUCCGGAUUUACUGGGCGUAAAGAGCGUGUAGGCGGCCACGCAGGUCCGUUGUGAAAACUGGAGGCUCAACCUCCAGCUGUCGACGGAAACCGUGUGGCUAGAGUCCGGAAGAGGAGAGUGGAAUUCCUGGUGUAGCGGUGAAAUGCGCAGAUAUCAGGAGGAACACCGAUGGCGAAGGCAGAUCUCUGGGCCGUAACUGACGCUGAGGAGCGAAAGCGUGGGGAGCGAACAGG